rnacentral:rRNA from 1 species
CCUACUGGUGGCAGCAGUGGGGGAUAUUGGACAAUGGGGGAAACCCUGAUCCAGCGACGCCGCGUGAGUGAAGAAGUAUUUCGGUAUGUAAAGCUCUGUCAGCAGGGAAGAAAGAAAUGACGGUACCUGACAAAGAAGCCCCGGCUAACUACGUGCCAGCAGCCGCGGUAAAAGGUAGGGGGCAAGCGUUAUCCGGAAUUACUGGGUGUAAAGGGAUCGUAGACGGUGAUGCAAGUCUGGAGUGAAAGGCGGGGGCCCAACCCCCGGACUGCUCUGGAAACUGUGUAACUUGAGUGCAGGAGAGGUAAGCGGAAUUCCUAGUGUAGCGGUGAAAUGCGUAGAUAUUAGGAGGAACACCAGUGGCGAAGGCGGCUUACUGGACUGUAACUGACGUUGAGGCUCGAAAGCGUGGGGAGCAAACAGGAUUAGAUACCCCAGUAGUC